rnacentral:rRNA from 1 species
UACGUAGGGGGCAAGCGUUGUCCGGAUUUAUUGGGCGUAAAGCGCACGCAGGCGGUCUCUUAAGUUUCGAGUGACAGGUCAGGGCUUAACCCUGGCAGGCCUUGGAAAACUGGGGGACUUGAGGGCUUCAGAGGGACGCGGAAUUCCAGGUGGAGCGGUGAAAUGCGUAGAGAUCUGGAAGAACACCCGUGGCUAAGGCGGCUCUCUAGUACGGUACUGACGCUGAGACGCGAAAGCGUGGGGAGCGAACAGG